rnacentral:misc_RNA from 1 species
AAACAGUCCUCUUAUCUGGAGACAGGGAAGAGGCAGUUGCUAGUGUAGCCAAGGCAGUUGGAAUAGAAAAGGAAUUUGUCCACUCAUCUUUGACUCCUCAAGACAAAUCUGACCUUAUUUCCACUCUGAAAACUGCAGGACAUCGAGUUGCUAUGGUUGGUGAUGGUAUAAAUGAUGCACCAUCUUUGGCUUCUUCCGAUGUUGGGAUUGCUCUGCAGCUUGAAUCCCAUGAAAAUGCUGCUUCGAAUGCCGCAUCCAUUUUACUUCUUGGAAAUAGAAUAUCUCAGCUUGUUGACGCAAU